rfam:Populus trichocarpa isolate Nisqually-1 chromosome 5, whole genome shotgun sequence.
GUCACGAUGAGAAGAAAAGGUAAUUCGCUGGGAUCUUAUCAUGCUUCCCAGAGAUGCUGGUUCGAAUCCAGCUCUGGAUU